rnacentral:rRNA from 1 species
AUGGCGAUAGAGAGGAGGAAGGUUGAUAGUGAGAGAAGAGAGGAGAUCGAGGAGAGCAAUGAUAUGGGCACAGAGGUGCUCCCGGCUGUUGACAGCAAGGGCAAGGAGUCGGUUCAUGCAAUGCCCGAGGUGGUGCUGCCACCCACCGCCGAGGAAGAACCAAAGAUGCCAACGGUUGGCGAUGACGAGCGCAUGGAGGAGCCCCCCAGCAGCAAGCGCCGCAACUACGACCACUACCAUGAGGAGGGUGGCCCAAGUCACUUCUGCAAGCUCAUCCUUGCACCAGAGCUAGAGUGCAUCCCCAUGCCCUUGGACUUCACCAAGCACUUCGUCACGGUGCCGAUGGAGUUCAAGCUGAGGAACAACAUUGGUUUCUCCUGGAGGGUGACUGUGAAGCUGAUGAACGGCAGGAUUGUCUACAUGGUGAUGUUCAAGCUCCUGACUCCCAACACCCUCAAGGUCAUCAUCUUCGACGACGAUGGCAUUGAGGUGGUCAACAAGUACGGGAAGCACAACGAAGACUUCGCCGCCAGGUACUAG